AGAUUCGCGACCCCCCAACACAAACGUUCGCUGAACGGUAAUGUUUGUUUUUGACAUAAGGGCGUGGCUACCAACUGGUAUUUUAUAUUAAAUAUAAAAUAUUAGUUGGUAGCCACGCCCUUAUGUCAAAAACAAACAUUACAGUUCAGCGAACGUUUGUGUUGGGGGUCGCGAAUCU